rnacentral:rRNA from 1 species
GAUUUUUGACAAUGGGGGCAACCCUGAUCCAGCCAUCCCGCGUGUGCGAUGAAGGCCUUCGGGUGGUAUAGCACUCUUGGUAGGGAAGAAAAGGCUCUGGCUAAUACCUGGAGCUGCUGACGGUACCUGCAGAAUAAGCACCGGCUAACUACGUGCCAGCAGCCGCGGUAAUACGUAGGGUGCAAGCGUUAAUCGGAAUUACUGGGCGUAAAGCGUGCGCAGGCGGUUCGGCAAGAAGGAUGUGAAAUCCCAGGGCUUAAACUUGGAACUGCAUUCUAAACUGCCGGGCUAGAGUAUGUCAGAGGGAGGUAGAAUUCCGCGUGUAGCAGUGAAAUGCGUAGAGAUGCGGAGGAAUACCGAUGGCGAAGGCAGCCCACUGGGAUAAUACUGACGCUCAUGCACGAAAGCGUGGGGAGCAAAC